rnacentral:rRNA from 1 species
GAGUUUGAUCCUGGCUCAGGAUGAACGCUGGCGGCGUGCCUAAUACAUGCAAGUCGAACGGAGAUAGGCUAGCAAUAGGCUAUCUUAGUGGCGAACGGGUGAGUAACGCGUAGGCGACCUGCCCCGAAGAGCGGGACAACAGUUCGAAAGGACUGCUAAUACCGCCUGAGGUCGGAGGAGUUAGAGACCUUCGACGAAAGGACUGUAGCGAUAUAGUCCGCUUUGGGAGGGGCCUGCGUCCCAUCAGCUAGUUGGCGAGGUAACGGCCCACCAAGGCGACGACGGGUAGGGGACCUGAGAGGGUGGCCCCCCACACUGGCACUGAAACACGGGCCAGACACCUACGGGUGGCAGCAGUAGGGAAUAUUGCACAAUGGGCGCAAGCCUGAUGCAGCAACGCCGCGUGCGCGAAGAAGGCCUUCGGGUUGUAAAGCGCUUUUCUGGAGGACGAGGAAGGACGGUACUCCAGGAAGAAGGAUCGGCUAACUACGUGCCAGCAGCCGCGGUAACACGUAGGAUCCGAGCGUUAUCCGAAUUUACUGGGCGUAAAGCGCGUGCAGGCGGCUGGGUAAGUUGGACGUGAAAUCUCCCGGCUCAACUGGGAGGGGUCGUUCAAGACUGCCUGGCUAGAGGGCGGUAGAGGGAGGUGGAUUUCCCGGUGUAGUGGUGAAAUGCGUAGAUAUCGGGAGGAACACCAGUGGCGAAAGCGGCCUCCUGGACCGCCCCUGACGCUCAGACGCGAAAGCUAGGGAGCGAACGGGAUUAGAUACCCCGGUAGUCCUAGCCGUAAACGAUGUGGACUGGGCGUCGGUGGGGUAAAAUCCGCCGGUGCCGUAGCCAACGCGAUAAGUCCACCGCCCUGGGGACUAC